AUGAUCAUGUGUGGUUCCUCGUACCCUGCGGCCUGGCCUCUGUCCUCCAGCAGCUCCUGCAGGCAGAUCUCCCAGACUCUGGAUCUAAUGGUUGCUGGUGCACUGCUGAUCUUCUGUUCUUCUCCACUCCUCCUGCUCUCCACUUCCUCCUGCAGCACCUCCUUUAGUUCACUGAGCAUCUCCUCCCGCAGUCUGCAGAACAACAGUGCUCCUUUAAAACAUACAUUCAGCCAGCUCUGCUUUCAGGAGGGCAGCCUGCUCCUGGCACAGGUGCUCCAGUCGAGUGCUGAGGGUAAACACUUCCUCCUGGAGCUCCCCGUUUCUCACGUUACACUGCUCCAGUUCAGUGCAUUUGGUGUGGAGCGUGUCCUGCCACCUUUCCUCCACUGCCUUCACAGCAGAGGACAUCUGCGAUCAGAAGGCUGCUGUUGUAUUCUGGGAGGGAGGUCAAGUCCUGGAGCCAUCGAGAACGAGCACCUUCAACCUAUAAGAGCUGUAAACACCUGGAGUGUGAUGUCAUCAGUGUGUUUCUGCUGCAUCUCUCUCUGA
rnacentral:lncRNA from 1 species